GGAUCAUUAAUGAGGGCGUGUGGGCUUUAAUAUCCCCGCGAACCCUAACCCUUUGUUUACUGCCCCCAUUUGUGGUUUUACUUGGGUGCGGUUUGGCUUCAAAGUGAGAAAAAAGAGGGGGGGAAAAGAAGAGAGGAAAAAAAAAAUAUUUUUUCUCUUUUUUUUUCCCUUUUUUCUUCCCUUUCCAUUUUUUGGGGUUUUUAAUGAUGUGCCCAAAAGGCUGCCACAAAAAAAAAAAAAAAAAAAAAAAAUCUCGUUAUAAAAAUACACUGAUGUCUGAGAAAAUUAUUUUUAAACAAGCAAAACUUUCAACAACGGAUCUCUUGGUUCCGGCAUCGAUGAAGAACGCAGCGAAAUGCGAUAAGUAAUGUGGACCGCAGUACUCAGCGACUCAUCGAAUCUUUGAACGCACAUUGCGCCCCUUGGUAUCCACCACAGGGCACACCUGUUCGAGCGUCAACAGACAUUGCAUCAGGCUAGGGCCCGGUCUGCCUUGGGCUUUUUCUUAUCUAUGGGAAAAGCCUUAAAAUCAGUGGCGGUUAAGUUAGGCAUUCCAGCGUAGUGAAAUUAUUUAUUAGCUGUUGAAAUACUUUUUACAUAACCGUCAACAUGUCCAGGGUUUCUGCUGGCGGAGACCCUGGAUUUUUUUUAAUUUUAUUAUCAAACCAAAUGACCUCGG
rnacentral:misc_RNA from 1 species